GUGAGACCUAUCCUCAGGGCGAGUGCAGUCAAUCGAGGCUUGGGGGCUACGACCUAUCGACAUAUCAGUUUUAGGUAGAAGUGCUUUGGUGGCUCACGGGGAUUUCGACAGUGGUUCUAAUAGAACAUCACAAAUGUAGGAUCACCUUUGGGUGUUGUAUAAUUGGUACUUGUCCUGCCUAACUGCACUUAGGCUACUUAUGCUCUAGUUGUGUAUUUCACACUUAA